CCUCAACCAGUGAACACAACGCCUUUUGGAAUACCGUGGGAUCUACAUCACCCAGCACUUCACCACUGCGAUACCUCGUGCUGCCACUGCUGAACAGAGUACGAAACUAGUGUAUCCUUCCAUCCUGCCGCAGGGAAUUAGUUCAUGAUUCACCGGGAGUUCAAAUACCAUCUACCUCGCUUCACCAUCCAGGGAUGGAGAGUCUUCUGUCUCCCUCUUCACUCUGCCCUGCUAAUACUCUGCCAUGUAUGACUUCUACCUCACUCUUUCCUCUGCCCUGCCAAUACACGCUGCCAUCCAGGGAGGGAGACUCCUGCAUCACUCUUCCCUCUGCUCUGCCAAUACACCCUGCCAUCCAGGAAGGGUAAGACUCCUGCAUCACUCUUCCCUCUGCCCUGCCAAUACACCCUGCCAUCCAGGAAGGGAGACUCGUGCAUCACUCUUCACUCUUCCCUCUGCCCUGCCAAUGCACGCUGCCAUCCAUGAAGGGAGAGACUCCUGCAUCACUCUUCCCUCUGCCCUGCCAAUACACGCUGCCAUCCAGAGAGGAAGAGACUUCUCUCAUUCUUCACUCUUCACUCUGUUCUGCCAAUACACGCUGCCAUCCAGGCUUCUCUCUGCCCUGCCAAGACACGCUGCCGUGCACUGUAACGGAUGAAGGAAACAUAAAACAACUGUGAUAUGUGGCCUGAUUAGACAGCCAUCAUCAACAAUCUUCCUGCGGUAAGAAGAUCGGCUAGAAAGUGUAGACACUCUGAUAUGUGGCCUGAUUAUAGACAGCCAUCAACAUAAUCUGCCUACGGUUGUGUUGCGUCAAAGUGGUUUACAGUAUGAAGAAAGAGAUGUAGCCAGGAAUAACUCCAUCUGGCCCAAGAUUUUCUUAAUACUACAGAUCGUGUUGCAUCGAAGGGGCUUACAGUAUGAAGAGGCGCAACCAGGAGUAAGCUUGUGAUGGGCAAUGAAAGUGUACAGUCUAAAAUUACUAUUACUCACUUGUUUGAGCAGUAAAGUUGUUGGUGUAAGGAAAGUAUAAAAUGGCAGACGUGAGACUAAAGUAGAUAAGCUAUUAAACUGUUUUUACCGCUGAUAUGAUAGUGUUGAUAGCAUUAUUCAAGGAAAUUAAUUCAUAUGUUGACCGAACUAUCGUAUGUAAACGAUGAUGUGUAAUCCUUUCCAUGUAUACAGAAACACCAACCAGUGUCAGCGAAAGUUAAAUGAAUAAAUAAAAUGAAAUAAAGUUAAAUGAUUAAAUAAAAUGAAAAACUCAUAAAAAAAAAACUGCUUAUGUGUGGAAGGAAUAUAAGAAAACCACAGCAGUUGAUGCAAAGAGCAGCAGAUCUCUGCCUCCUAGGAUGCUGCAAUAUUUGAAUGGACGUCUAUGGCGCACUGUUAGUCGUUAUUUUUGGACACGGAGGAGGUUGUGGUUUGCUUUGACAAUAUUUCGCUCUUAGAGCAACUGUAUUUCUUAGUAAACAUCUUACUAACAGGA